UUCUGUGAGCGUGUGCUGGCCA
rnacentral:misc_RNA from 1 species